CCUACUUCCACUGAACCUGCUGGGUGACACUGUUGGCUAGUGUCAUGGAUUUGGCCCAGUAGUGCUGUUGACCUAUAACGCCUCUCAUGGAAUUUAGCCAGGUGGAGCUGUUAACCUUCUAUGCGCCCAUGGGAUAUUUUUGCCAGGAAGUGCUUUUGGACCCAUAAGUACUUCUUAUGAAUCCUCCCUCAUUGGUCCUACAAUCCAGGCUCUGUCUGGGGAAGAGAAGAGAGGCAGGAUGUCAAAGCCAAAGUCUACCAGGGUUUUCUCAAUCUGCAGGCUUUGUGGCCUGAGAGUAAACAAGGAGAGGUGACCAUCAUGGUGAAGAUUGACUACCAGAGUUGCAGGGCCCCAUGAUUGCAUCAGUGGCUUUAUAUGAAGAGGAAGAGAGAUCCACAUCAGCAAGCUUGCUUUUGUCUCAAUAUGUGAUGUCUUCCACCUCUUUGGGACUCUGCAGAGUCUCUACCAACAAGAAGGUCCUCACCAGGUGCAGCUGCCUUAUCUUCAACUUGCCAACCUCCAAAAUUG